rnacentral:lncRNA from 1 species
CCCGAGCUGCCGCCGCGCCGCCGCCAUCUCAGGAAUGGUGCGCGCAGGAGGCGACGGCCACUCCCUGCGCCUCGGGCGCCGCGGGCUUCACUGCGGACCGGGCCGCGCCGCCGCCCGCAGCCUCCUGCAUCCUUCUCCUCCUCCUCCUCUUCCUCCGCUGCCGCCGCCGCGCCUCUGGGUUCUGCCCCCCGCCGCCGCCGCCGCUGCCGCCGCCGCGGAGCCCCCUCCCCUCCGCCGGAGCGCGCCGCGUGGCCGCCGCCGCCAGCCCCGCCGAGGCAUCCCGCGCCUCCCGGGCCGGGCUGGGCUGGGGGCGCCGCCGCCGCAGCUGCGGGACCGGGAGGCGGCCGGGAGGGAGGCAGGGCCCAGGACGCGAGGUGGCGACAGGUCGCGUUUGGCCCCAGGGGCUGUGGGGUCACCUUCUCUUCCUUCCUCCUGCCACCCCAAGCCAUCUGAGUGGCGUGCUACGCAGUGGGAGAGCACGUUGGCCUGGACCUCACGCUACCCACGUUCUAGUCCUGCCUCUGUCAUUUCCUAGAGCUGUGGCCUCGGGUAAGUUCCCUCACCUCUCUGGGCCUCAGUUUCCUCAUUUGUAAAAUGAUGGGUGUAUGUAGAUACUCUCCAAGUUCCCUUUCUACCCUGAAACUUGGAAUUCCUGCGGUCCAGUUGCAAAGUGGGAAGGAUCAGGGGAAUUUUCCUCACUGAUUAUCUUCUGAGGAUAAUUCUGAAGAGAAAUGGUUAAGAAAUGGUUAACCAUUCUCUGAAGAGAAAUGGUUAGCAGUGGUUAAGUAUCUUACACGUUUCUAACAGGAAGGGAGUGAAAGCAAUGCCCAUUGUCCUCUCCUUGCUUCUCCCCUUGGUCACAUCACCAGACUUCUUUAGUAAUCUUAAGGUGAUUUAAAUUUUAUAUUUUUUGUAGAUCACCUACUUCCAAAAUAGAUUUGAGGGGUUCACAAUAUAAUAUGCACACGUGCAACUGGAUCAUUAAAAAUAGGAAUACAUUAAUAUAAAAGUAAUGAUGCUUUUUCAUUGGUUACUAUUGAAGUUUGGAUUGAACAUCAGAUGUAAUUUUGAGCAUCCUGGAAGCCAAAGCAAAAAGAGGAAGGUGCAUAAUUGAUAAUAAAGACAAAUUGCCAGACUGUUCCUAGUUCUAA